rnacentral:rRNA from 1 species
AGUGAACGCUGGCGGUAGGCCUAACACAUGCAAGUCGAACGGCAGCACAGUAAGAGCUUGCUCUUACGGGUGGCGAGUGGCGGACGGAUGAGGAAUACAUCGGAAUCUACUUUUUCGUGGGGGAUAACGUAGGGAAACUUACGCUAAUACCGCAUACGACCUACGGGUGAAAGCAGGGGAUCUUCGGACCUUGCGCGAUUGAAUGAGCCGAUGUCGGAUUAGCUAGUUGGCGGGGUAAAGGCCCACCAGGGCGACGAUCCGUAGCUGGUCUGAGAGGAUGAUCAGCCACACUGGAACUGAGACACGGUCCAGACUCCUACGGGAGGCAGCAGUGGGGAAUAUUGGACAAUGGGCGCAAGCCUGAUCCAGCCAUACCGCGUGGGUGAAGAAGGCCUUCGGGUUGUAAAGCCCUUUUGUUGGGAAAGAAAAGCAGCAGGUUAAUACCCCGCUGUUCUGACGGUACCCAAAGAAUAAGCACCGGCUAACUUCGUG